CUGCUUGUGAUUAAUGCAUACAUUGGAAUUACCGUCUGAUCUUCGGACAGGACGAGAAUCUGCGGCUUGAAUGAAGCAGUGG